rnacentral:rRNA from 1 species
AUUGAACGCUGGCGGCAGGCCUAACACAUGCAAGUCGAACGGUAACAGGAAACAGCUUGCUGUUUCGCUGACGAGUGGCGGACGGGUGAGUAAUGUCUGGGAAACUGCCUGAUGGAGGGGGAUAACUACUGGGAACGGUAGCUAAUACCGCAUAACGUCGCAAGACCAAAGAGGGGGACCUUCGGGCCUCUUGCCAUCGGAUGUGCCCAGAUGGGAUUAGCUAGUAGGUGGGGUAACGGCUCACCUAGGCGACGAUCCCUAGCUGGUCUGAGAGGAUGACCAGCCACACUGGAACUGAGACACGGUCCAGACUCCUACGGGAGGCAGCAGUGGGGAAUAUUGCACAAUGGGCGCAAGCCUGAUGCAGCCAUGCCGCGUGUAUGAAGAAGGCCUUCGGGUUGUAAAGUACUUUCAGCGGGGAGGAAGGGAGUAAAGUUAAUACCUUUACUCAUUGACGUUACCCGCAGAAGAAGCACCGGCUAACUCCGUG